rnacentral:misc_RNA from 1 species
GAAAUGCGAUAAGUAAUGUGAAUUGCAGAAUUCAGUGAAUCAUCGAAUCUUUGAACGCACAUUGCGCCCCCUGGUAUUCCGGGGGGCAUGCCUGUUCGAGCGUCAUUUCACCACUCAAGCCUCGCUUGGUAUUGGGCAACGCGGUCCGCCGCGUGCCUCAAAUCGACCGGCUGGGUCUUCUGUCCCCUAAGCGUUGUGGAAACUAUUCACUAAAGGGUGUUCGGGAGGCUACGCCGUAAAACAACCCCAUUUCUAAGGUUGACCUCGGAUCAGGUAGGGAUACCCGCUGAACUUAAGC